CGACUUCUGAAUUGUCGGUAUGAACAAGGCUCGACAACUCGCACCACAAACAAACCAACGCAUGGCCCUUUGGAGUUUGGCUUGAGCUCACCACGUUAGGUUGGACCAUGAAAUACCGGGGCCAUAUAACAAAACAAGGGGCGAAGAGAACAACAAAAUGCUCAGGUUCAUCUGUAAACAAGAUGACGGCAGAGUCUCGCAGUUGCACUUUUCGGGUUUCGGUUGACGAGCCACAAUUUAGGUUGUGACAUUUGUCGCCGAAAUCAAAAUUAUGAACUAGUCCCUUUCAAAGCAACAGUUAAGUGUACUUUAAACGGCUGACAAUUGGUCUCCGUCAACACGUACACGCAGCUAACUAGCUAAACCCACAGCCAACAGGUACUAUGACACCGAAGUUGCUGCCGCCAGGAUUGUAGUUGGCAAAGUCAAGUUAUUUUUCAAAUUAUAACCUGAGCAUGCCAGGUGAGUAAUUAAAGAGCGUAACGUUUUGCGCUGGAGGGGUUAACGAACUUGUCAGACAUCUGUCACUGCACUCUUAAGGAAAAAUAACCCCCAUUCAAAAGCAAAAAAAAAAUAGUAACCGCACAUGAAUAGCACACCAGCUCCGCAUCUACCGAAUGCACAGGAAAAGAAAUAACACAUUAUUCAGCUCAUACACAUGCAUGCAUAUUAACGUUAACACCAUCCAUGUACUCGGUUCAUGUACGAAAAGCGCAACUGCAAAAUCUCUCACUUCACGAUACCGAGCGCUAAUGCACAGAAACACUGAACUGCAGGAGCAUCCUGUGAAAGAUGGCGACCUCCGUGAUAUUAUCAUCCCAUUUGCAGUCCAAGACUGUACCAUACCAUCCCAUAACCAGGCCCCGCUUCGUGAAGAUACACAGAAAAUGAGACCUUUCUGCCUGUCGUUGUUACUGCAUUUCCCCAGUUGUGAAGCGCAUCCAGGACGGCCUUUCUUCCUACCCUUCUCCGCUAAAAAGGGUCGAUUUCACGAGACAGAACCCAAACAAAACUAAAAAACAAAAAGGGGGGGGGAGGCAACCAGCUCGUCGCUGCAGCUCCCCGCUGGCCGGCGGGCUGUUGUGGCUGAAAGGCGGAGACGCGCGACGCUUCGGCUCUUCCCGGUCGGGCUGCAGUUCGGCACCAGCGGAGCGACGAGCUCAGCCUUCUCCUCUCCCACUCGGGGCGCAGCGACCACCGCACAGCCACGGCUCCAGGAACUCCCGCCUCCCUGCCCCGCAGCCUGCCAGCGCGGUUGGCUGAUGCUGACCGCCCCCCGAGCGCCACUCGUGAUCAGGGGGCCGGCGUGGGGAUUGGCUGCGCGCUUCGGGUGGAUUCGGCGUACUCACGGUGACGGAGCGCUUGAUCCGCCUCCCUCCGUUCUCUCAUCUACAGUGAAAACUUUAUUAAAGAUGCUGCGCUUCUUUCAAAGCCCACCACGCUGUGAUGUUUAUGUUUGAUUUCCUAACCGCCUGCCGGCCAUAAAACUACAUAUUACUGUUGCUGUUUUUAUUUUAAAUACAGCAGACCUAGCUCCUCGGGCGAGAACCUGCUCUUGCGGUCUUUCCCUGGGUUUAACCAGGGGUCACUGUAGUUGAGGGGAUGUUAAAAAUAAAUUGGGGAUCCCUGUAAAGUUUUUUUUUUUAAAAAAAACGGGAUGCUUCAGCCAGAGAAGAUUAAAAAUCCCCUAAAUACUGCAUUGAUGCAGUUCGAUGCAGCUGUUAAGAGUUUUGAAAAACAACAGCCUAGUUUUGAAAAAUAUAACCAAGGUAACGAAAACAAAUAUUAAUUCGUUUUGUCUAAUAAUUCUUUAUAGUUACCUAAAACUGAUAUUAGUGUACAUUUAUUUUAAAAAUGUUUUUUUAAUUGUUAUUAUAUGGUUAAAAUACUGCAUUAUAAUCUGGAGUUUGGGUUGUGAUUAAAAUUUCAAAACAAGAUGCCCC
ensembl:lincRNA